CAGCUGAUAGUUUAAAUUAAAAUUUUAGUUUUGGAUAUUAAGGAUACAUUAUUGUUUGGCUGA
rnacentral:tRNA from 1 species